UUGCGGUCCUGGAAUACUGUUCCUGGACCACUCCUGACUGAGGGUCGUAA
rnacentral:rRNA from 17 species